rnacentral:rRNA from 1 species
UUCGGGGGGCGAGGGUGGACAGGUGGUGCAUGGUUGUCGUCAGCUCGUGUCGUGAGAUGUUGGGUUAAGUCCCGCAACGAGCGCAACCCCCUAUCUCUAGUUGCCAGCGAUUCGGUCGGGGACUCUAGAGAUACUGCCCCGGUUAACGGGGAGGAAGGUGGGGAUGACGUCAAGUCCUCAUGGCCCUUAUGCCCGGGGGCUACACACGUGCUACAAUGGGCGGUACAAAGGGUAGCGAUGCCGCGAGGUGAAGCCAAUCCCAAAAAGCCGUCCACAGUUCGGAUUGGAGUCUGCAACUCGACUCCAUGAAGCCGGAAUCGCUAGUAAUCGUGGAUCAGCAUGCCACGGUGAAUACGUUCCCGGGCCUU